rnacentral:rRNA from 1 species
UUACACGGGAAUAAACCCCGCUACGUGUAGCGGAUUGAAUGUACCGUGGGAAUAAGGAUCGGCUAACUCCGUGCCAGCAGCCGCGGUAAUACGGAGGAUCCAAGCGUUAUCCGGAUUUAUUGGGUUUAAAGGGUGCGUAGGCGGCCUGUUAAGUCAGGGGUGAAAGACGGUAGCUCAACUAUCGCAGUGCCCUUGAUACUGAUGGGCUUGAAUGGACUAGAGGUGGGCGGAAUGAGACAAGUAGCGGUGAAAUGCAUAGAUAUGUCUCAGAACACCGAUUGCGAAGGCAGCUCACUAUGGUUCUAUUGACGCUGAGGCACGAAAGCGUGGGGAUCGAACAGGAUUAGAUACCCUGGUAGUCCACGCCCUAAACGAUGAACACUCGCUGUCGGCGAUACACUGUCGGCGGCUAAGCGAAAGCGUUAAGUGUUCCACCUGGGGAGUACGGUCGCAAGAUUGAAACUCAAAGGAAUUGACGGGGGCCCGCACAAGCGGAGGAGCAUGUGGUUUAAUUCGAUGAUACGCGAGGAACCUUACCCGGGCUUGAAAGUUAGUGAAGUUUCCAGAGAUGGAUACGUCCGCAAGGACACGAAACUAGGUGCUGCAUGGCUGUCGUCAGCUCGUGCCGUGAGGUGUUGGGUUAAGUCCCGCAACGAGCGCAACCCCUGUGUCUAGUUGCCAGCAUGUAACGAUGGGGACUCUAGACAAACUGCCUGUGCAAACAGAGAGGAAGGAGGGGACGACGUCAAGUCAUCAUGGCCCUUACGUCCGGGGCUACACACGUGCUACAAUGGACGGUACAGAGGGCAGCUACACGGCAACGUGGUGCGAAUCUCACAAAGCCGUUCACAGUUCGGAUCGGGGUCUGCAACUCGACCCCGUGAAGUUGGAUUCGCUAGUAAUCGCGUAUCAGCAAUGACGCGGUGAAUACGUUCCCGGGCCUUGUACACACCGCCCGUCAAGCCA